rnacentral:lncRNA from 1 species
GUUCGGGUCAAACCAUAGUUUCCCGAGAACAUCAAUAGCCUCUGUGGUAUCACGAAGAUCGAACUUUUUUCUAUCACAUGAUUCAACUGCAGUACAAUAAUAACCAUGUUAAGCAAUAUUCACAUUUUCUUAUAGAUGAUUAAGCUAUUGAUGUCUAACUAUGUUAAGCAAUAUUCACAUUUUCUUAUAGAUGAUUAAGUUAUUGAUGUCUAGAUGGAGGAACUGUACCACCGCUACUGUGCUACAAAUGCUUACUAUAGAUAGUAUCUAUUUAAUUUUAAUUUAUGAUAUAGAUUCUUGACCUAAAAUGAAAAAAAAAUACAAAAGAAUGUGUUCUUUAGAAUAACUAAGUGAAUAUUAGUUCGAAAUCUGUGUACAAUAUUAUAGAUGAUGGCUUAGUGUUCUAAUGUUACUUACGUGGAGUUUGAUGGUGGUGAUCGUUGGUCAAUAAGGAGUGAGCCGUUUGUCAAGAGGGUUGCAACCUCUGCUGAUCCUAGACUCUUUGCUAUGGGUCCAUCUUUGCCUGGUUUUCAUAUAGGUCAUCAUCAUAAUGGAUAACGUGACUUUUAAAGCUUCACUAACGACAACCCUUUUGUACAAUCUAGGAUAGGGCCCCUUUUUAAGGCAUAAAUUACCUUCAGGUUGCUUGUAAUGACUCUCACCACUUUCAAUUGGGGGAUUAAGAAAAAUGGCUACAUUUAACCUCUUAAUAUUGCUUCUAUUUUCACUAUAUUCACUACAUUUGCUACUGUAAAAAAGACUAUAGUCAAUAAAAAGUGUGCAAAUAAUUUCAAUAGUAAAUUAAGAAUAUAGAAAGCAAGUCGAAACGCCAACAAUUAGUCAAUUUAAAUGCAUCCUAAAGCAAGCAAGAACACCCAAAAUUUGUUAGUUAAUCUUUCCUUAUUGAAACAUUCAGACGAUAAUUGUAACAAUAUUGUUUUUGUAAUCAUAAUAUACAACUGAACUAUGUAAAAAUCAUUCAAAAAUCAAUGAAAACCUGUUUUAAGAGGUCAUCCAACCCAACAUCGCCCAUUUUAACCCUCAUCCUCUUCGACCCGUUGCAUAACCCAACUGACCCGCCCAUCUUGCUACCUCUACCUUGAUGAAUAUAAACAAAGAAAGAGCUUUAAAUAAACACAAUAAGAUAUUGACCCAAGCUUACCUUUUUAAGAGGCCCCUUAGUUUCUUGGAUAAGUGAACGUGCAUUAUCAACUCUCCCCCAUAUUUUCAGCUUUAAAGCUUGUGGCUUUUGUGGUUUAAUAUUUUUCUUUUCUUUCAUGAAUUUCACUACGCCCAAUCCCUGAAAACUUCAAAAAUAAAAAGAAAGAUACAUGACUCCAUGCCAUCAAAUUCAACUCAAUUUACUCAAUAAGAGAGCUCUUUUAGGUCAACUUUAUACCAGAUGGUGUAACGACAUGUAUCAAAUUUAGAUCAACCUUCACUUUAGGAAUCUUAUUUCCAACAUUUGAAAUUUCAAAGAACUUACCAUGGCAGUGAACGACUCAUGGCGCUGA